AUACGUAGGUGACAAGCGUUAUCCGGAUUUACUGGGCGUAAAGGGCGUGUAGGCGGUCUUGCAAGUCAGAAGUGAAAUUCCUGAGCUCAACUCGGGCGCUGCUUCUGAAACUGCAGGACUUGAGUGCUGGAGGGGAUAGCGGAAUUCCUAGUGGAGCGGUAAAAUGCGCAGAUAUUAGGAAGAACACCGGUGGCGAAGGCGGCUAUCUGGACAGUAACUGACGCUGAGGCGCGAAAGCGUGGGGAGCAAACAGGAUUAGAUACCCUGGUAGUCCUCGCCGUAAACGAUGAAUACUAGGUGUAGGGGGUAUCGACUCCCUCUGUGCCGCAGUUAACACAAUAAGUAUUCCGCCUGGGGAGUACGGCCGCAAGGUUGAAACUCAAAUGAAUUGGCGGGG
rnacentral:rRNA from 1 species